AGUGAUGCCCCCUCAUCUUUUCUUAUGAGGUUGCUCAUGAUGUCAUAGAUGGACUUGGUCUCAAAAACAAAAGGACAGAAAACCCUGUGGAGGAGUGAUUGUUUUGGGUACCUGAAGGAGUCUGGAUAGGAAAAAGUAUCUGUACUCCACUUUAUAUAUUCUGGCAGAAGGUGGAACAAACUGGACUUUAUAGACAACCCGUUAUUAGAACAGGUAAAUCCUCGACUGCUGACAGAGUUAGAUUGUCACACCCAGCUUUUCUCCUCUCCUGUAAUUAGCUUGCUUGGUUUGGUGAUUGGCCUUGGAGACGGAUCUUCAUUUAGAAGUCUGAUUUUUUUCCCCAGGCACAAAUGUCUGCCUGAAUCAUAUCUGCGGAACACAAACAUGCCUUCAGCUCUAAAGAUGAGUCAUUGCCACAUCCAGUUGGGGGUGUAAAGAAACUUUUCCAAGCCAACGCCCCAAGUUCAGUUCAUGGAAAGAAAUAAGCCAAGCAAAAACCGGCGCAUGGUUAUGCUCCAGUUUCCCCAGUUCCAGACGUGGCGAGCUUUCCCCGGCCUCCUCCUGUCGUCUUCUUCCACGUACCUUCCUCUCCGAGGACAUCUUUGUGAAUAAUUUAGGCUCCGGCUGGUUCUGACAGUCCAGCGUCUUCUCCCUGGACGAGGCCUGUCAUCUCCCAUCCUGUCUUCGAACCUCUUCGCUCGGGAAGAUGUCAGAGACCUGAGGCGACCUUUCCCUCUUCGGAAAGAGGAGGGGGCCCUGUGCACUUUGCCGGAGACAGGCUGUACUUACUGGAAGUCCACAGCCCCAAAAUGCAUUUGCAGCCGCCAUGAAACCUCUCCUACAAUAACUGUUACUCUACUAACAACUGCCUCCUUAGGCCGAUGGAAAGUAAAUUUUAAUGGGAAUGGUUGCGAAAA